rnacentral:misc_RNA from 1 species
AAGUCGUAACAAGGUUUCCGUAGGUGAACCUGCGGAAGGAUCAUUACAGUGUUUCCCUGCCCUUCGGGGUAGGAUCGCCACCCUUGAUUAUUUAUGAGUGUUGCUUUGGCGGGCCUCGCGGCCUGGCCGCGCCCCGGCUUCGGCGGGGGAGUGCCCGCCAGAGGAUUCUACAAACCUGAUUAUUAGUGUCGUCUGAGUACUAUAUAAUAGUUAAAACUUUCAACAACGGAUCUCUUGGUUCUG